CCUACGGGAGGCAGCAGUGAGGAAUAUUGGUCAAUGGGCGGGAGCCUGAACCAGCCAAGCCGCGUGAGGGAAGAAGGUACAGCGUAUCGUAAACCUCUUUUGUCAGGGAACAAAGGCGGGGACUAGUCCCCGGAUGAGGGUACCUGAAGAAAAAGCAUCGGCUAACUCGGUGCCAGCAGCCGCGGUAAUACGGAGGAUGCGAGCUUUAUCCGGAUUUAUGGGGUUUAAAGGGUGCGCAGGCGGCCUGUUAAGUCAGCGGUAAAAGCCCGGGGCUCAAGCCCGGCGAGCCGUUGAAACUGGCGGGCUGGAGUUGGAGAGAAGUAGGCGGAAUGCGCGGUGUAGCGGUGAAAUGCUUAGAUAUCGCGCAGAACCCCGAUUGCGAAGGCAGCGUACCGGCUCCACACUGACGCUGAGGCACGAAAGCGUGGGUAUCGAACAGGAUUAGAUACCCUAGUAGUC
rnacentral:rRNA from 1 species